ensembl:lncRNA
GGACAUCAGAAUACCCAGUAAGGUUCUAACAGCACAGGUGUAACAGCUGAAAACUAUCAUCUUCUAAUCAGUAUUUGUAGUGAGAGUAUUUGGAGUUUCUUGGCUCUGGGAAGGUAUUUAUAAACAAAUGUUAGGGGGCUUUGUUGUACAGGGAGCUGUUCUGAUUGUGCUACUGAGACUGUUCUUCCAGUGAGUGAAAUGUUUUCAUAAAAAUGUUACCAUUGUUGUUGAAAGAGGAAAUCAGCUGCAAUCAAAGGGGUCAGAAAUGAGGAAUGGCUAUCGAUUGAGCUAUGGUGUGCAGUCCUAAAAUACUCCUAUUUGGUGACACUGCAUCUGCUCCAGAUUGCAGUGUAAUCGUGGGCAUUGUGGAUGGCACAGUGGUGAAAAUGGGAACACACACAGAGCUGAUGGGGAAAAAGGAGCCAGAUUAUUCACUUCCAACCUCACAGGAGCUGAUCACAGAGCACAUGCAUUUGAACACCCAAAAAAAUGAUAUUGAAGCACAAAGAGUGAAGAAACAAAAGGCUUGAGCUGUGGAGUUCGAAGUUUGCCCUGCAGCUUUCCAAAGAUUGAAAAUUCUCGGCUCUUGCAUGACAAGGUCAGCCAACUACAUAGACAAGUGCCAAACUUCAGCGUUCCCCAGUGUGUAAAUGUAUUGGGAGACUGGACUUUUAAUUAGCACAGUUCCAGGAAGAGCAAAGAAUCAGUGAGAAUGAAGUAGACAAGAUGCAUCAAUUAAUGUAUUUCAACUGAACUGUUAUAGAAACCUCGGACAAAUGACAGCGAUUGAACAAAUAAUUGCGAACAGCAAAUCUGCCCAUACAGUUUCCUUUCUCAAGAAUUGAAGCAACUUAAAUUCAGAAAAGAACAGGAGUGAGAAAAGGGAAGAAAAUGAUAUGGAAAAAUAAGAACAUUUUGUUUUGAUAUUUUCAAGCUGAAAUCUUCUCUUUCAAAGCACUAUCUUCAGUUCUAAAUGAACUUGAACAUUACAAACAGCAAUCAAAGAAGGCUGAAUAACUCAGAAAAGGAAAGGAGAGCACUUCUCUGAUUUGGACCAACUUUGGACUGUGCUUUGUUUGCAUAGUUUGUGGUUCAGCUGUCAGACAGAAAAUUGCCAUGAUUUUAAUGGCAUUAAUUCUGUAUUCCAGUCUGAACCCAAACCAGAUGACAUAAAAUCCAAGGAUGGGCUGAUUUUCAGAGAUUGCUGUUAAAAUGCAAACCAGAAUGAGAGAAGAGAAAUUACAAAAUGUCAGUGUCCUCACAAGGGGAGCGUGAUUCUGCCCUCCAAACAUAUCCCUUCCAGCUCUGUGUGAC